CACAAAUCCGUUAUGAAUAAAAUAGAUAAUUGAAUUGCAAUCACAAUUGGAAGAAAUCAAUUCAUAUUGCAAAUAUAUUCAUGGUUUCGAAUUCUCCUCUAGCCAAAAGAGGUUUAGUUCCUCAUACUUACAAUUAAACAGAAACAAUUGAAAUUAAACAUUGAAAACCAAAGUAGAAUACACCUAGAAUGCUCCAGCAAUCCA
rnacentral:lncRNA from 1 species